CCUACGGGGAGCAGCAGUGAGGAAUAUUGGUCAAUGGGCGCAAGCCUGAACCAGCCAAGUCGCGUGAGGGAUGACGGUCCUAUGGAUUGUAAACCUCUUUUGUCGGGGAGCAAGGCCCGCCACGUGUGGCGGGAAGGAGAGUACCCGAAGAAAAAGCAUCGGCUAACUCCGUGCCAGCAGCCGCGGUAAUACGGAGGAUGCGAGCGUUAUCCGGAUUUAUUGGGUUUAAAGGGUGCGUAGGCGGAAGGUUAAGUCAGCGGUAAAAUGUCGGUGCUCAACACCGGCCUGCCGUUGAAACUGGUCUUCUUGAGUGAGCGAGAAGUAUGCGGAAUGCGUGGUGUAGCGGUGAAAUGCAUAGAUAUCACGCAGAACUCCGAUUGCGAAGGCAGCAUACCGGCGCUCAACUGACGCUGAGGCACGAAAGCGUGGGGAUCGAACAGGAUUAGAUACCCCAGUAGUC
rnacentral:rRNA from 1 species